AUGAUAAAGAAAAGAAGGAGCAAUGGUCAUGCCAGAAAGGGUCGUGGCUACAUGCAGCCCAUUCACUGCAGGAACUACACCUGAUGCAUGCCCAAGAAUAAGGCUAUUAAGAAAUUUGUCAUUCGAAACAUAGUGGAGGCCGCAGCUGUCAGGGACAUUUCUGAAGCAAGUGUCUUCAAUGUCUCUGUGUUUCCCAAGUUGUAUGUGAAGUUGCAUUACUGUGUGAGUUCUGCCAUUCACAGCAAGGUAGUCAGGAAUCAGUCUUGUGAAGCCGGCAAGGACCCAACACCCCUACCCCAAUUUAGACCUGCGGGUGCUGCCCCACGACCUCUACCAAAGCCCAUGUAUGGAGCUGAGUCCUUAAGGACUGAGGAACAACUAGAAGAAGAUGCUACUUCUAACCUGAUUAAGAGCAUAUAG